rnacentral:rRNA from 1 species
CCUACGGGAGGCAGCAGUGGGGGAUAUUGCACAAUGGGGGGAACCCUGAUGCAGCGACGCCGCGUGGGUGAAGGAGUGCUUCGGCAUGUAAAGCCCUAUCGGCAGGGAAGAAGCAAGACGGGAACGGACGAAGAAGCCCAGGCUAACUACGUGCCAGCAGCCGCGGUAAUAAGGAGGGGGCGAGCGUUCGCCGGAUUCACUGGGUGGAAAGGGAGGGGAGACGGCAAGGCAAGCAAGGGGGGCAAGCCCGGGGCUCAACCCCGGGACUGCCCUUGCAACUGCCUGGCUGGGGUGCGGGAGGGGCCGUCGGAAUUCCUUGUGUAGCGGUGAAAUGCGUCGAUAUCAGGAGGAACACCAGCGGCGCAGGCGGCCUGCUGGACCGCGACUGCCGUUGAGGCUCGACAGCGUGGGGAGCGAACAGGAUUAGCUACCCUAGUAGUC